rnacentral:rRNA from 1 species
CCUACGUGGGGCAGCAGUGGGGGAUAUUGCACAAUGGGGGAAACCCUGAUGCAGCGACGCCGCGUGUGGGAAGACGGUCCUCUGGAUUGUAAACCACUGUCCCCAGGGACGAAGAUGACGGUACCUGGGGAGGAAGCUCCGGCUAACUACGUGCCAGCAGCCGCGGUAAUACGUAGGGAGCGAGCGUUGUCCGGAAUUACUGGGUGAAAGGGGAGCGUAGGCGGGACUGCAAGUUUGGUGUCAAAUCUUCGGGCUCAACCGGUAGCCGCACUCAAAACUGCAGUUCUUGAGUGAAGUAGAGGCAGGCGGAAUUCCUAGUGUAGCGGUGAAAUGCGUAGAUAUUAGGAGGAACACCAGUGGCGAAGGCGGCCUGCUGGGCUUUUACUGACGCUGAGGCUCGAAAGUGUGGGGAGCAAACAGGAUUAGAUACCCCUGUAGUC